GGGGACGUAGCUCAGAUGGUAGAGCGCUUGCUUCGCAUGCGAGAGGUACUGAGAUCGAUACUCGGCGUCUCCA
rnacentral:tRNA from 1 species